rnacentral:rRNA from 1 species
GAUGAACGCUGGCGGCGUGCUUAACACAUGCAAGUCGAACGAUGAAGCCCAGCUUGCUGGGUGGAUUAGUGGCGAACGGGUGAGUAACACGUGAGUAACCUGCCCUUAACUCUGGGAUAAGCCUGGGAAACUGGGUCUAAUACCGGAUAGGAGCGUCCACCGCAUGGUGGGUGUUGGAAAGAUUUAUCGGUUUUGGAUGGACGCGCGGCCUAUCAGCUUGUUGGUGAGGUAAUGGCUCACCAAGGCGACGACGGGUAGCCGGCCUGAGAGGGUGACCGGCCACACGGGGACUGAGACACGGCCCAGACUCCUACGGGAGGGAGCAGUGGGGAAUAUAGCACAAAGGGCGAAAGCCUGAUGCAGCGACGCCGCGUGAGGGAUGACGGCCUUCGGGUGGUAAACCUCUUUCAGUAGGGAGGAAGCGAAAGUGACGGUACCUGCAGAAGAAGCACCGGCUAACUACGU